UGGGGAAUAUUGGACAAUGGGCGCAAGCCUGAUCCAGCCAUGCCGCGUGUGUGAAGAAGGCCUUUUGGUUGUAAAGCACUUUAAGCGAGGAGGAGGCUACUUGGAUUAAUACUCUAGGAUAGUGGACGCUACUCGCAGAAUAAGCACCGGCUAACUCUGUGCCAGCAGCCUCGGUAAUACAGAGGGUGCGAGCGUUAAUCGGAUUUACUGGGCGUAAAGCGUGCGUAGGCGGCUUCUUAAGUCGGAUGUGAAAUCCCUGAGCUUAACUUAGGAAAUGCAUUCGAUACUGGGAAGCUAGAGUAUGGGAGAGGAUGGUAGAAUUCCAGGUGUAGCGGUGAAAUGCGUAGAGAUCUGGAGGAAUACCGAUGGCGAAGGCAGCCAUCUGGCCUAAUACUGACGCUGAGGUACGAAAGCAUGGGGAGCAAACAGG
rnacentral:rRNA from 1 species